GGGAAGGUGGCUCAGUGGUGGAGUGCUUGCCUCACAUGCAUGAAACCUUGGGUUUGAUUCCAAAGCAUCACA
rfam:Dipodomys ordii contig_60789, whole genome shotgun sequence.